CCAAGGUUUCCAGGGGAAGGUUCGUCCGCCCUGGGUUAGUCGGGACCUAAGCUGAGGCCGAAAGGCGUAGGUGAUGGACAACAGGUUGAUAUUCCUGUACUAUCGAUAACCGUUUGAGAGAAGGGAUGACACAGUAGGAUAAGCUAAGCACACUGUUGGUUAUGUGUGCCCAAGCAUUGAGGCAGUCAAAGUAGGCAAAUCCGCU
rnacentral:rRNA from 1 species